GCAGUCAUGUCCGAGUGGUUAAGGAGAUUGACUAGAAAUCAAUUGGGCUCUGCCCGCGUAGGUUCGAAUCCUGCCGACUGCG
rnacentral:tRNA from 1 species